CUGAGUCACACCCCAGCCCCUCACUGGGGGAUUCUAGGCAGGUGCUCUACCACUGAGCCACACCUCCAGCCCCUCACUGAGAGAGUCUAGGCAGGUGCUCUACCACUGAGCCACACCC